AUGCCAUACAUGCAGAGUAUUCAGUUGGAUGAGUUCCAUGAACUCGUUCGGUCGGGAUACAUAAAAUUGGAUAUCAUGUUUGUGAUUAACCAUUACAAGUUUGCCUGUAUGUCUUGCCUCGGUAUGGGCCAUUGUUUCAGUAAUUGUCAUAUUGGGCCAAGAUGUCUCUCUUGCUUUGAGCUUGGUCAUAUACCUGCUUCUUGUUACGAUCGUCGAUUCUCUAGUCAACAGAAUAUAUCUCCGCGGAAUAAUUACGUCUUCAAGAGAAACAAUUGUAACAAUUUAAUCUGGUUCCCAAACAUCAGUCUUUCUGCCCGAGGUGUCUGCAAUUGGGCCAUUCUUACCUGGGAUGUAGGCAAACCCCGCGAUGUCAAUUCUGUUCGGCUUAUGGGCAUUCUGUUGUUGGCUAUUGGCGGGUGA
rnacentral:rRNA from 1 species